UACGUAGGGUGCAAGCGUUAAUCGGAAUUACUGGGCGUAAAGCGUGCGCAGGCGGUUUUGUAAGUUUGUCGUGAAAGCCCCGGGCUCAACCUGGGAAUUGCGAUGAAGACUGCAAGGCUUGAAUCUGGCAGAGGGGGGUAGAAUUCCACGUGUAGCAGUGAAAUGCGUAGAGAUGUGGAGGAACACCGAUGGCGAAGGCAGCCCCCUGGGUCAAGAUUGACGCUCGAUGCACGAAACGCGUGGGAGCAAACCAGG
rnacentral:rRNA from 1 species